AUUGAACGCUGGCGGAAUGCUUUACACAUGCAAGUCGAACGGCAGCACGGGCUUCGGUCUGGUGGCGAGUGGCGAACGGGUGAGUAAUAUAUCGGAACGUGCCCAGUCGUGGGGGAUAACGUAGUGAAAAUUACGCUAAUACCGCAUACGAUCUACGGAUGAAAGCGGGGGAUCGCAAGACCUCGCGCGAUUGGAGCGGCCGAUAUCAGAUUAGGUAGUUGGUGAGGUAAAGGCUCACCAAGCCGACGAUGUGUAGCUGGUCUGAGAGGACGACCAGCCACACUGGGACUGAGACACGGCCCAGACUCCUACGGUAGGCAGCAUUGGGGAAUUUUGGACAAUGGACGCAAGUCUGAUCCAGCCAUUCCGCGCGCAGGACGAAGGCCUUCGGGUUGUAAACUGCUUUUGUACAGAACGAAAAGGUCUCUAUUAAUACUGGGGGCUCAUGACGGUACUGUAAGAAUAAGCACCGGCUAACUACGUGCCAGCCGCCGCCGUAAAAC
rnacentral:rRNA from 1 species